rnacentral:ncRNA from 1 species
UGGUUCACCACGGUGAUUAAAUGGGAACGGAGUGAGAUUCUCCUGACAGUCCCGCUGCUGUGAUUUGCCUUUAUACAGUAUGAACAAUGAUGUCACUGACAGACAAUGAUCGGGAAGACGUUUAUACUUGGCAAUAGUCAGAAGACCUGCCGUCAUGUUAU